ensembl:lncRNA
AAGGAGGGGUUGUAAAGGUGCUCAUAUCUUCGGUCCUCUUCUGUUAUGUUUGUUCAUAAUCAACAAGAAUAAGCUUGUGAGACAGUCUGCAGGAUAUUCAUAAAAAAACCGUGUCAUUAGUAUGAACAUUUGAGACAACUUAUCCCUCUUUCGUCUUCCGGGUCACGACCUGGCAGGGAGAGAGGGAGCAUGCGCAAAGACGCAAAGUCCAGUUCCUUAUCCAAUUCACCGUUACAUGCCGCAAUAGUCGAACUAUCAACUGGAUCGGAUCGAGUUAUCCAGGGGUGUUAGUCCGACUAUGUGCGGUCCGACUACGAUCCGACUAAGGUGCUUACAUGAAACGGAUAAUGCGAUUUCAGUCCGACUAAGGCAGUUAUUCGAAUCCAUGUAACCACGGUCACCAGAUCUCAAUCCAAUAGAUAGAGCAUAGUUGGGACGUGGUGGAACAGGGCAUAUGCAUCAUGAAGAUGCCCACAAAAAAAACAGCAACUCCAAUCCAAAUAUGGACUCUCAUCAAGCACAAAGGCAACGGGGGCAAGGUCUCUGAGGAAUGUUUCCAGCACCUUGUUGAAUGCGCCACAAAGAGUUAUGGCAUUUCUAAGGACAAAGGGGGUCCAAUACUAGGAAGGUGUACCUAAUGAAGUGGCCAGUGAGUGUAUACAUAUUAUAUUUAUUUAUAUUUUGAACUCUCUUCUAUUUUGAAUUGCUAUCUGUUAUGUGUGAGAGCACGGUCUGGAUUGCCACAAAAUGAUGUUGCGAUCUGUGCAAUGAGAAUCUUAUCUAUCUAUUUAUCUAUCUAUGUUCAGACAACUAGGCUACUUCCAUGCCCAAUACAUUUAAAGCGAAAUGGCUUUUAACAUCAGUUAUCAGAACUGUUCCGUUUGUAAAACGUUUGUUUGUAAAAGUUUGUAAACUUUUUAAUUGACAUUUUGAUAAGACUAUAUGAACAAUUCUUGAUGUCAGGACAUUUUAAUCAGAAAAUAAUAUUGUUACUAGGUACUAGGAUUAAAAUGCAGCACAAAUAUAAGCAGACGGUGCGAUCCGAUGUUGCCCAGUCGUGCAUGCUAGUUUUGGACAGUUGUCAAGAAACUAUUGUGUGUACAUCUUUGAAAAAUAUGAACACACACCUGAUUGGAUCAGAACCGAUGUGAACAGUGAAUGGACUAUGUCGAUUGUAAUAAUUCAGAAUGGAAGAAAAAACCUUGCAUGAUGUAAACAGCUAUUUUCUCUGAGCCUAUGUAAUGAAUAUACCUAUCCCCAAGGUUGAGCAUUUUCCUAGUGAGUGAAGUUGUCAUUUAUGCCUUUGGUUUCAUGGUUAAGAUAGAGCGCCAUCUUCUCCACAGUUCACAUUUACAUUUAGUCAUUUAGCAGACGCUUUUAUCCAAAGCGACUUACAUAUGUGUGACUUACAAAGUAUACACAUUUUACAUUUACACUGAUGGCACACUGCACAUCAGGAGCAAUUAGGGGUUCAGUGUCUUGCUCAAGGACGCUUCGACAGGGAAUCGAACUAGCAACCUUCUGAUUACUAAACGACUUCUUUACCUCCUGUACCACAUCGUUCAGUGCGUAACGGAUGUGAGAGCAACCUUUUUAAUGUUAAAUGCUUCAAUUGGAAACAUUUAUUUAGACUCUUAGACUCUCGAGAGCACGUAAGUCACCAGGCCAUGAGCAUUAAAGGAUUUUUUUGUCAAAUCUCCCCAUCACCCUCUCUCUCUCUCUCUGUCAUUAUUGACUGAAUGACCUCAUUAUUAUGAGAGGUUGUCUGCCGCCACAUUGGGGUUGUUCAGAAUCUGACCUGAGUACUAACAUCAAGAGUAUGAGUACUAACAUCAAGAGUAUGAUAACUAACAUCAAGAGUAUGAUAACACUGUUGCUUCAUUUUGUAUCUCUGACAAAACUUAUACCAAUCAAUAACAUCUAGUACAAUAGUCCAUUCCAGCUUUUUCCCUAAUGAUGGUGCUCGCCUCCAACAACACAUUGAGGUUUCAGCUUUUUUGUCUAAACCACUUGCAGGUCUGAGUGUAGGAACAAGUAUGAUGUAGAUAUGAGAUGUAGAUAUAUCUACCAUCUGAGCAUCUAGUAUAUCUGAUGGUAAGAGUCAGAUGGUCUUGUCUCAGAAAUGUUGGAAGCUGUGAAAUGCUGCCAUUUCCAUCCAAACCAAAUUAUAUCCUGCCAGUGUCUGCUUAAUACUUACAGCUUCAGGCACACAUUCUUUUCCCCCACAGAAUGUUGAGCGCUGCUCUUUAACAAAACAACAUUUCUUUCUGAAGAGAAGAAGCUUUAAUGCAUACACAUACACUAGACCUGUCCAAAAAGAAAAUGUUUGACUACUAUAGCCAAUGCUGUUAAGGCCAUAUAUGCCUGCCUUGUGUACUGGUUUCCAAUUGGCUGUGUCAGACCAACCCCCCCCCCCCCCCCCCCCUGGAGUUCCGGAGUUCUAAUUAAAUCUGUCAAGUCAAAUAGAUGAGGAUAGAAUACAGAUGAAGCUAUUAGAAGAAUUUUGUCAUGGCUACAGCUUGCACAUUAUUAGUUUACACAACAUAUUUCUAUGUGUUGUAAUACCUUAGCAUUCACCCUUGAUGGAACAAUACAAUAUAAGAUAAUAAAAGAAUAAAAAACAAAAAUGCUGCUUUUAUUCAUAGCAAUUUACAAAACAUAUUUACAAAUGUAGAACAUUACAUUAUUUAGAACAAAAUUAAUGCACAAUGUGCAGAACAAUAUUAAUUAUGGCAGAAUGGAAUAGCACUUAAUACAAAAACAGUUACAACAAUACAACAAUAAUAAUUAUCAUAAAUAAAACACAUUGUUUUUAUUGCUUUCGCUCUCAAAAUACAUGAGAUGUGUUUUAAUGAAUUCUGUGUUGUGCUUCCAUCAUAUUCAUGGCUGUGGCUGUCUGAAUGGGUACACUGAUUCCUGCCAUGCAGUUUGAACCCCUGGAGGAGAAGCGAUUAACGGUGACUAAUCUUGUAUAAUGGUGGCUUAGCCCACUGGUCCAGUUUCAGCAAGCAGUCGCCAUCUGGAUACUAAUACUCUGACCCUCCAUUUGUGUAUGGUCCUCUGCCUGGAAAGAGACAAAAACACACACACUUCUCUCUUACACAAGAUAUAUGUGUUUUGUGCUUUUUUUUAGUGGUGGAGUUAAAGAAAUGGAUCAGCUACAAGUAGCCUUGAUGGUAUUGCGUAGCAUCAGAUAGUCGGACUUGCAGAUUUAUUAACAAAUUAAGAUAAUGUAUAGGGCUAAAUAAUCAAUUGUGCACCCACCCACUACGUCACUCCAAGGAUUACCAGCUGUUCCACUGUAAAAGAUACAAUCAGCUUUACACUGGAAAGACACCAAACUUGCUGAACAUGUGAAAUAGUAGCGGAAUCAAGGAUAUAUCUCUCUAUUUUUAUUAGUGAUUAACAUUCAAUAGUAGCAGAAUCAAGGAUAUCUCUGUCUUUUUUAUUAGUGAUUAACAUUCAAUAGUUCACUAAAGACCCUCUCCAGAGAGGUUGAAGUUUUGAACCUUGUCCAUAUGGUGUUUUUUAGAUUUACAUUUACAUUAAGUCAUUUAGCAGACGCUUUUAUCCAUCUACAUUUACAUUAAGUCAUUUAGCAGACGCUUUUAUCCAUCUACAUCUACAUUUACAUUAAGUCAUUUAGCAGACGCUUUUAUCCAUCUACAUCUACAUUUACAUUAAGUCAUUUAGCAGACGCUUUUGUCCAAAGCGACGUACAAGGGAGAGAACAGUCAAGCUAAGAUAAAAUAAAAACCUGGUGUAACAGUAAAUAGAUGAUACACAACAUAUCAUGAGCCAAAUAAGCAGUCACCGCCAUGGCUGAGUAUUUUCACCUCCACUGGAGCUGCAGUGUACCAACAGCAGUCUCAAAAACACAGCCUGGGUUUCAUACGUCACAAACCUAAGGAACCAAUCCUGCCAACUUGGAAGGUGGGGCUUUACAUAUCAUUGGCCGACCGCCUGCACCCACCUGCAGCAAAGGAGGACUGAUUUGCAGAUUCAUAGCUCUGUUAAUAGACAGGUGAAUCGUGGCAUUCAAGCCAUUUUAAGGCCACGAAGGGAUGUUUGACAUGAAAACAACUUCUAAAUAUGUCAUUUUAAGGGACAGAGAUCGAAUCAGAAUUAUUUUUAUUGGCCAAGAAUAUUUACACAUAGAGGAAAUGAACUUGGUGUGGUUGGUGCAUAGGACAUUAAACAUAUAAACAUUUUAACAAAAUAGCAAAAAUAAGAAUAAUAGAUAAAUGCUUUACAAAAUAGAAUGAUAAAUAAUUUGGGCACAUAGGCCCAGAGUGGCUAAGAUGCAGUGAAUUGGAAUUAGCAUAGUGCAGUAUAUAAAUCAUUUACGCUGUAGUGUAGUGCAUUUGUGUGAAUGUGUAUAAUGUGUGUGUGUGUGUGGGGGGGGGGGGACGACCCAGAGUCAGUGUGAUGCAGGGGGCUUGUUUGUGAGCCCCACUACCGUGGGGAAAAAAACUGUUCAAGUGGCGCGAGGUUUUGGUCUUGAUAGCCCGGAACUUUCUGCCGGAUGAGAGUCUCUGGACUAGGUGGUGACCGGGAUGGGAAGGAUCAGCGAUGAUCUUGCAUGCUCUCUUGCUGGCCCUGGAGUGGUUUAGGAGAGACGGCAGGUCGCAGCCGAUGACCUUCUAGGCUGACCGAAUGAUCUGCUGCAGUCUGCCUUUGUCCUUGGCGUUUAGGGGCACAGAGACACAGAGAUACAGAGACACAGAGAUACAGAGACACAGAGACACAGAGACACAGAGACACCGUGUUUGUUUGUUUGUUUGUAUUGUGUUGUAUAUUUUGUGUAAGCACACUGAGAGUCACUUUACCGAGUCAAAUUCCUUGUUUGUGCAAACUUACUCGGCCAAUAAAACCUGAUUCUGAUUCUGAUUCUGAUUCUGAUUCUGAUUAUGAGGAUACAGAGUUACAGUAGGGGGGCUGCGGGUUGAGGGCAACAAAACAGAACGAGAACCCCAAAACUACUGGUCAAAUGAAGUAUGACACUGCUCUUACCACACAUUAACCUGUUGUUGUUUAGUUUAUAGCCUAAUUUGCCAUUAAAUAAUAUGUUCAGGACCUACUGUUUAUUCUACAUGUUAGGGUAAACAAGAGCUCUUUUUUUUAAAAAAAAAAGUAAAAAAAAUUGUUUAACUGAUUGAUGACACUGGAAAUGACUUGAAUUAAAACAGCUCUUCAACUCUUCAGAGAGCACCUCCCUUCCUAACUGGCACCUUGACUAGACUUCUUUUUCCUUUCUAGGUCGUUUUUCUAAUUCUUAUGUAAAGUAGUAUUUAUUGUUACACCAUGUUCUUUAUUGCUCUUAGCUUGACUGUUCUCUCCCUUGUACGUCGCUUUGGACAAAAGCGUCUGCUAAAUGACUUAAUGUAAAUGUAAAUGUAAGUAAUAGGCAAUAUGAGCAUCUCAAUCUUGUUGUGUUUGGAGGGAGGG